UGGCUCGGUCAGCAGAGCAUGAGUCUCUCAAUCUCAGGGCCGUGGGUUCGAGUCCCAC
rnacentral:tRNA from 1 species